UGAAAGCUGGCCUUCGGGUCCGCAUUGUAAUUUGUAGAGGAUGCUUUGGGUGAAACGCCAGUCUAAGUUCCUUGGAACAGGACGUCAUAGAGGGUGAGAAUCCCGUAUGUGACUGGAAAUGUUAACCUAUGUAAAGCUCCUUCGACGAGUCGAGUUGUUUGGGAAUGCAGCUCUAAAUGGGAGGUAAAUUUCUUCUAAAGCUAAAUAUUGGCGAGAGACCGAUAGCGCACAAGUAGAGUGAUCGAAAGAUGAAAAGCACUUUGGAAAGAGAGUUAAAAAGCACGUGAAAUUGUUGAAAGGGAAGCGCUUGCAAUCAGACUUGUUUAAACUGUUCGGCCGGUCUUCUGACCGGUUUACUCAGUUUGGACAGGCCAGCAUCAGUUUCGGCGGCCGGAUAAAGGCUCUGGGAAUGUGGCCUUCACUUCGGUGAAGGUGUUAUAGCCCAGGGUGUAAUACGGCCAGCCGGGACUGAGGUCCGCGCUUCGGCUAGGAUGCUGGCGUAAUGGUUGUAAGCGACCCGUCU
rnacentral:rRNA from 1 species